UAACCAAAAAAGUCGUUCUAGGGUAUAAAAGUGCCGGGUAAACUGACUAAAUAAAACUGGUAUUUGCACAAAAUCAAAUCACCAAGAGUCUCUUUCGCAAGUACGUUAUCUUGCAUGCAGUUACUAUACGAAAAAGAACCUCACAGGUCGUCAUUGACAUCAAUCCAUAGCUUUAUGCGGUUUCAUUUUGGUUUGGCCUGAACGUAUAAAAGAUAGCCAUUUAUGAGUUAUCGAUUCUAACAGUGUCAAUCAUAUCACCAUGUGUUCCAUUAAGAUCUCCACAUGUUCCAGUUCAGUGAAAGCUGAGGGAUAGUUAAAAAGAAUUGCGGUUUUGAUCUUGAAAUAAAAAAUAUUUUAGAUGCUUUACUAAUUAAAAACAGGGUUGAUGGGUAAGGUCAAGUGCCACUCCGUAAAACUGCACAAUAAACCUUGUGUAGUUAGAUUCACGAACAUUGCUGAUUAGGGGCGGGGGUGAAUGGGGGAGACCGCUUUCCUUCAAUAUUUUCUUAACUAUACAUUAUCAUGUAUCUUGCAAGGAUCGGGAAAUAUGCUUGCAAGGAAAUAUGCAUGAUAAUACAGUACAUUAUCAUGUAUUAUAUAGUUAUCA